GAUGAACGCUGGCGGCGUGCCUAAUACAUGCAAGUCGAGCGAACAGAAGAGGAGCUUGCUCCUCUGACGUUAGCGGCGGAAGGGUGAGUAACACGUGGAUAACCUACCUAUAAGACUGGGAUAACUUCGGGAAACCGGAGCUAAUACCGGAUAAUAUAUUGAACCGCAUGGUUCAAUAGUGAAAGACGGUUUUGCUGUCACUUAUAGAUGGAUCCGCGCCGCAUUAGCUAGUUGGUAAGGUAACGGCUUACCAAGGCAACGAUGCGUAGCCGACCUGAGAGGGUGAUCGGCCACACUGGAACUGAGACACGGUCCAGACUCCUACGGGAGGCAGCAGUAGGGAAUCUUCCGCAAUGGGCGAAAGCCUGACGGAGCAACGCCGCGUGAGUGAUGAAGGUCUUCGGAUCGUAAAACUCUGUUAUUAGGGAAGAACAAAUGUGUAAGUAACUAUGCACGUCUUGACGGUACCUAAUCAGAAAGCCACGGCUAACUACGUG
rnacentral:rRNA from 1 species